GCCGAGGUGGCUGAGUGGUAAGGCGCAGGCCUGGAAAGCCUGUGUUCCGCAAGGGACUCAAGGGUUCAAAUCCCUUCCUCGGCG
rnacentral:tRNA from 1 species